GGGAUUAAUAAAAAAUUAAAUCUUCAAGGUAGACCGGCAACGCCUACGGAUCUUUAGGAACGAGCAAAGUAUAUCGAGUUUGUGGAAUGACUGUAUUAUGCUACCCAUUAAUAUUCGAAGUAUCACAAUUUUAUUUGUACCGUGACAUGGCUUUAUUAAUAGACGAUAUUAAAACAGAACUUCGAUUCGUUGGAAAAUAUUGGAGACUUUCAGGACGUCCAACCGUUUGUUUGUUGAUUCGUGAAGAACAUAUGAGGGACCCCCAUUUCAAAGAGAUGCUUGAUCUUUU